rnacentral:tRNA from 1 species
GGGACGCUAGCUCAGUCGGUAGAGCAUUUGCCUUUUAAGCAAAGGGUCACUGGUUCGAAUCCAGUGCGUCUCACCA